UUCUUCUUCUUUUUUUUUUUCGUUUUUUGUUUGAUAAUUUAUACAGGAACUGUUUUUAUUUCUUCCUUGACCUUUUUAACGGUCUAUAAGGGAAUCGCCACUAUUUGCCCAAAAACGGAGGCAACAAACCCCCAGCAAAAACCGGCAUACACCACCACGUCAGACCAGGUCCACCGACCCACCAAAUCUUCACCGAACCGAGCCCUCCCUCCACUUCGUCUAAGCCGGACCACACUCACAAAUCAGCACGGAGCGGCAUUGCUUACUCUCGACUCCGCGUCCUCUCUCCUCAACCUCCCUCCGGACACGCCCACCUAAAGCACGUGCGGCGUCUCACGUCAUCACGUCCUC
rnacentral:lncRNA from 1 species